GAGCAUGUGCACGCCUUGUCAUCUUUAUAUCUCCACCUGUGCACCUUUUGUAGACCUUUCAGGUCUAUGUUGCUUCAUUUACCCCCAAUGUAUGUUAAUAGAAUGUUGUGCCUAUAUAAUAUAUACAACUUUCAGCAACGGAUCUCUUGGCUCUCGCAUCGAUGAAGAACGCAGCGAAAUGCGAUAAGUAAUGUGAAUUGCAGAAUUCAGUGAAUCAUCGAAUCUUUGAACGCACCUUGCGCUCCUUGGUAUUCCGAGGAGCAUGCCUGUUUGAGUGUCAUUAAUAUAUAUAUCAACCUCCUCUUUUUGAGUGGUUUGGAUGUGGGGGUUUGCUGGCCUCUCAAAAAGGUUCAGCUCCCCUGAAAUGCAUUAGCAGAACAACCUGUUCAUUGGUGUGAUAACUAUCUACGCUAAUUGAAUGUGAAGGGCAGUUUGGCUUUCUAACCGUCCUUGGACAAAUUUCAUCAUUAAUGUGACCUCAAAUCAGGUAGGACUACCCGCUGAACUUAAGCAUAUCA
rnacentral:rRNA from 1 species